rnacentral:ncRNA from 3 species
GACCGUCGUGAGACAGGUUA